rnacentral:lncRNA from 1 species
UUAGGGUUAUAUACUGUUAUUGAUUAGAGAGACAUUAGGGUUAUAUACUGUUAUUGAUCAGAGAGACAUUAGGGUUAUAUACUGUUAUUGAUUAGAGAGACAUUAGGGUUAUAUACUGUUAUUGAUUAGAGAGACAUUAGGGUUAUAUACUGUUAUUGAUCAGAGAGACAUUAGGGUUAUAUACUGUUAUUGAUUAGAGAGACAUUAGGGUUAUAUACUGUUAUUGAUUAGAGAGACAUUAGGGUUAUAUACUGUUAUUGGUUAGAGGGACAUUAGGGUUAUAUACUGUUAUUGAUCAGUGGGACAUUAGGGUUAUAUACUGUUAUUGAUCAGAGAGACAUUAGGGUUAUAUACUGUUAUUGAUUAGUGGGACAUUAGGGUUAUAUACUGUUAUUGAUUAGAGAGACAUUAGGGUUAUAUACUGUUAUUGAUUAGUGGGACAUUAGGGUUAUAUACUGUUAUUGAUUAGAGAGACAUUAGGGUUAUAUACUGUUAUUGAUUAGAGAGACAUUAGGGUUAUAUACUGUUAUUGAUCAGAGGUUAGAGAGACAUUAGGGUUAUAUACUGUUAUUGAUCAGAGAGACAUUAGGGUUAUAUACUGUUAUUGAUUAGAGGGACAUUAGGGUUAUAUACUGUUAUUGAUUAGUGGGACAUUAGGGUUAUAUACUGUUAUUGAUUAGAGGGACAUUAGGGUUAUAUACUGUUAUUGAUUAGAGGUUAGAGAGACAUUAGGGUUAUAUACUAUUAUUGAUCAGAGAGACAUUAGGGUUAUAUACUGUUAUUGAUUAGAGGGACAUUAGGGUUAUAUACUGUUAUUGAUUAGAGGGACAUUAGGGUUAUAUACUGUUAUUGAUUAGAGAGACAUUAGGGUUAUAUACUGUUAUUGAUCAGAGAGACAUUAGGGUUAUAUACUGUUAUUGAUCAGAGAGACAUUAGGGUUAUAUACUGUUAUUGAUUAGAGGUUAGAGAGACAUUAGGGUUAUAUACUGUUAUUGAUCAGUGGGACAUUAGGGUUAUAUACUGUUAUUGAUUAGAGAGACAUUAGGGUUAUAUACUGUUAUUGAUCAGUGGUUAGAGGGACAUUAGGGUUAUAUACUGUUAUUGAUCAGAGAGACAUUAGGGUUAUAUACUGUUAUUGAUUAGAGAGACAUUAGGGUUAUAUACUGUUAUUGAUCAGUGGGACAUUAGGGUUAUAUACUGUUAUUGAUCAGUGGGACAUUAGGGUUAUAUACUGUUAUUGAUUAGAGAGACAUUAGGGUUAUAUACUGUUAUUGAUCAGUGGGACAUUAGGGUUAUAUACUGUUAUUGAUCAGAGAGACAUUAGGGUUAUAUACUGUUAUUGAUUAGAGAGACAUUAGGGUUAUAUACUGUUAUUGAUCAGAGGGACAUUAGGGUUAUAUACUGUUAUUGAUUAGAGAGACAUUAGGGUUAUAUACUGUUAUUGAUUAGAGAGACAUUAGGGUUAUAUACUGUUAUUGAUUAGAG